CCUACGGGAGGCAGCAGUGGGGAAUUUUGGACAAUGGGCGAAAGCCUGAUCCAGCAAUGCCGCGUGUGGGAAGAAGGCCUUCGGGUUGUAAACCACUUUUGUACGGAACGAAACGGUUCGCUUUAAUACAGUGGGCUAAUGACGGUACCGUAAGAAUAAGCACCGGCUAACUACGUGCCAGCAGCCGCGGUAAUACGUAGGGUGCGAGCGUUAAUCGGAAUUACUGGGCGUAAAGCGUGCGCAGGCGGUUAUAUAAGACAGUUGUGAAAUCCCCGGGCUCAACCUGGGAAUUGCAUCUGUGACUGUAUAGCUAGAGUACGGUAGAGGGGGAUGGAAUUCCGCGUGUAGCAGUGAAAUGCGUAGAUAUGCGGAGGAACACCGAUGGCGAAGGCAAUCCCCUGGACCUGUACUGACGCUCAUGCACGAAAGCGUGGGGAGCAAACAGGAUUAGAUACCCUGGUAGUCCACGCCCUAAACGAUGUCAACUGGUUGUUGGGUGCAUUAGUACUCAGUAACGAAGCUAACGCGUGAAGUUGACCGCCUGGGGAGUACGGCCGCAAGGUUGAACUCAAAGGAAUUGACGG
rnacentral:rRNA from 1 species